GACGAACGCUGGCGGCGUGCUUAACACAUGCAAGUCGAACGGUGAACCUCUUCGGAGGGGAUCAGUGGCGAACGGGUGGGUAACACGUGGGCAACCUGCCCCCGGCUCUGGGAUAACUCCAAGAAAUUGGGGCUAAUACCGGAUGUUCACCGCUUCCCGCAUGGGUGGUGGUUGAAAGGUUUUUCGGGUGGGGAUGGGCCCGCGGCCCAUCAGCCUGUUGGGGGGGUGGUGGCCUACCAAGGCGGGGACGGGUAGGCCGCCCGGGAGGGGGGACCGGCCAACCGGGGCUGGGGGAAGGGCCCGGACCCCACGGGGGGGCGGAGUGGGGGAAUAUGGCGCAAGGGGGGGAAGCCGGUCGCGGCGAGCCCGGGGGGGGGUGGCGGGCCUUCGGGUGUAAAACCUUUUUCAGCAGGAACGAAGCGCAAGUGACGGUACCUGCAGAAGAAGCACCGGCCAACUACGUG
rnacentral:rRNA from 1 species